AGGUGAACGGCCGCUGCAGGAGUGCAGGGGGGAGGGGGAGGGCAGGCGGGGAGUCUCUGCGGGGCUUGGAGAGCAAGCCCCACAAACCGGGAGGAAGAGGGUAAAGGCAGGAGGCGGCCAACGCCUCCCACGUGGGCCCCCUCCUGUUACCCAGCCCUGCUCUGGACGACACUGACUCCCCCUCAACUUGCACCGAAACCCGAGGCCCAAGAGGCGAAGUGAGCAGCCCCAGUCGCCGAGCAAGGCUGGGAGGUCUGCCAAGCUAGGCCUCUCCAACGCCAGGGUGCACCCCUGCCUGGGCCCCCACCUCGGAAGGCUAGGGGGGAGGGGGCAAGCGUGGGGGACGGCCCGCCCCACCCUGCACACAAAGAGGCAGGCAGCCAGGGAGGCAGGAACUGGGGUUCGGUCUAUCGGGUUCCACAUGGGGUUCACACGAGGGGAAGCAAAGGAGGGGCUGGCCUCCAGAGGGUCUCGGGCUUAUGGGGACCCGCAGGAGCUGGAUGCAGUGGAGGACUCCCCAAACAAAAGCCACAGUCUCAGCGGAUCUGCAGGGGAGAGGAAAGAAGGAGACUCCGGGGGACGGGAGGCAGGGCCAACAGUGCCACUCAGCUGUCACAACACCGCCUUGUCCAGACGCCCACGCGCCCAGCACCCACGGACGUACCGGCUCGGCCACCACCCAGGCCGAGAGCAUAGGCCACGCUCCAACCAGCAGUGCCACUCACGGGCCACACAAGGAAGCCAGACCAUCCAUACUGCCUUCCAGGCCUUUCCAUCCCGGGCCUCUGCCACACCAGCCAGCAGAGGGACAACCCCCAGCCGCUGGGGUCACCCAGUCACCCUCUACCGCCCCAGCCCCUCGGGGCACCCCAGGGUCCUCCUGCUGCCCAACCAGGCCCCAGGCGGACUGAGGGGAGUCUGGGUCCAAGACUGGAGGCUCCCCGAGGGCCGGCCUGAGGUCGCUCUGGUGAAAGCUGGAGGCCCUUCCAGAUGCCUGCCCCUCGGCUGGCCGCCCUCCUCUGGCCGACAGCCCCAUCUUAAAACAACUGUGCUUUGAUUCAGGCUCGUUUUCUCCCGCUCUUCCCAGCCAGGCUGCUCAAUCCUCCCAUCCCAGCCCCUUCAGCAGACCACCCGGGCUCCAGACUGCAGCAAGGCCCUUCUGUCCCGGCCUCAGCCCCACGGCUUCUGCCCUUGUAGUGGACCUUCUUCCUUUCUUCACCCAUCCAUCCCUUCAUUCAUUCAACACUCAUUCACGCAGCGCCUCCCUGAGUAGUGACCACCACAGACUCCUGUCCCAGAGGCUACCAGCUUAAGGGGAGAGAUGGAGGAGCAACAAUACGAAGGAGAACAUAAGUGAUCUGGUGGGCUGGAAGGCAGUGCAUGCCACAGGAGGACAAGGGGGCUAUUAUGGAGUCAGGGUGGGCAGCUGUCCCGGGGCAAGGUAUGUCCACAGCUUGCAUUACACCCCGAACUGUGACAGCUGCGGGAAUGACAGAAGCGGGGCGCUGAGAGGUGGGAUUUGUGGGUUUCCCCCAAGACUAGCCAAGGUCCCCGCCUUGUCAUCACACUCCUCUCAGUAGCUCCUCAAGGCCCAGGCGACCCCAGGUUCCAACAUCGCACCCAAGAGUCUUCAGCAUCCUCCUUUCUCAGGCUCAGCGAUUUUCCUCACCAUUCGGCCUCGGUGCUCGUCUGUCCAACUCACUCGCAGAGCCCCCUGGCUUUCUAGAGGCCUCCUGAGCCUUCACCAGUGGUCUGCAUCCGCCCAGUUGCAUCCGCCUGGUCCAAGCCCAUCAGUACAAGAAUGAACACAAAGAGCUGAUGGGGCCAGAGCAGACCUGAGCAGCUCCUGCCAGCUCACUUCCUCACCUUGCAGGCAGAGAGGCGGUGAGAGGUCCACCUGGACCCGGUCACCUUGGGGGGCAGUGCAGGGAGCAGGAAAGGCCAGGGGAUGAGACACCCAGAGACAAGGAGUAAGACAGAGUGGGGGAGGGGGGCCCGGGUAGGCUGCCCCAGAAGGGAAGGGGGGGGUGGGCUGCAGAUCCCCCACCCCCACCAAGGGCAGAGACUCUCCUCAGGGCUCUGGAGUCCUCUGAAGAAAAUGCUGGCUCCAACCAAGGGGUCAGGCCGCCAGCCCACCGUGUCCUCCUCCAUCACCUCUCACCCUCCACCCUCGGGUGGCAAGUGACCUAGGGCCUUUGCACAGACUGUUUCCCUGCUCGGGGCACUUCAGCUAGAGACCCUCAUGGCCCCACUGUCACCUGUAAGAGACGUCUUUAUCACUUCUAACCCCAGCCCUGCUCCAAUCUCCCCUCGCCCCCAUCAUUUUAUUUAUCUCCAUUUGACACCAGGCUCUCCGCUUACUGCCUGCAGCCCCCACUGAAUGUCGCUUUGGGCGGGCAGGGACUUCA